UUCUAAUAUAACAAACAAUUCCAUUCUCAUCUUCCCCUGUCAAAUUAACUACCAUGGGUAAUUACCCAAUAGGCAAAAUGUUUUCUUGGGGCAUUAAAUAAAGGCAUUUGGAUGCAUUCAUUUUAGUGGUUGGCAUUAAAAAAAUUGCCAUGCUCAGGGCAAUAGCAUUUAGCGGCAUUUGUUUUCAUUCCAACAGGCCAUGCAUGACUGAGAGUAACUGAGCUGAAGUUAGCAGAAGAGGUGGAAGGACGCUAAGGCUUCACCGUGUAGAGCAUAAGUUGAUACUUUUGGCAGAGACAGCAAGUCCACAAGCCAAUGCAAAUAGAGGAAGUGGAAGCAGGAAAAGGAGCAAAGCCAUCUUAUCAAGGAUGCUACGUUGCAAAGAACUUGAAAUAACUGAGCCAAAGAGGCAGAAGAUAAAAAGGAAAUAAUCUUUGCCAUUAAGACACUCACAGUCUAGUGGUAGAGAGGAAAAGCAAAAGACGAUCACAGACCAGUAUGGAAGAUGCUGCCAGAGGCCUGUAGGGGUGAUGAGGAAAGGAGUGAAGCACUCAGGAGAAGCUGCCUGGAGGAGAGGAUGUCCCAGUUGAGGUUCAAACUCAGGAAUUAACUCGGUGAACAGGGCCUAGGUGUUGGGAGCAUGCCACAUAAUGUAAAAGCAUGAACAAAAUCACAGAUUUGAAGUUGCAUUGUAUGUGUGUGUGUGUGUGUAUGUGCG
rnacentral:lncRNA from 1 species